rnacentral:misc_RNA from 1 species
GCUCAGAUCAAUCAACUACAUGAGAAAACAUCAAAUUUUUCCACAGAAUUUACUGGGCGUGUAGCUACUGGCUAACGACUUUCACUCAGCUGCACAGAUUGGGAUCACAUUGGCCACUGAAACCUGAAACUCUCACGCUUCAGAGACCAAACUGUCUGCCUCGGCGUCAGACGGCUGCGACUCGUGCUUCGCGGCGGCCUGGAGAACCCGGUCUUGGACCGCCGUCGUGGAGGGGGAAGUCGCCAAGCCAAUCUUGCUUGGCUCCAGCUUCUUGGCCGCCCACGAGAACGCCUCCGCG